rnacentral:lncRNA from 10 species
GGGAGCUCAGGACUCCAGGGAGCCAGGCUUAAGGGCAGACUGGAAAUUCGGAUGCUCACAGUCAUGCUUGCCUGCGGUGCCCUUUCCCAAAGUUUAGUAAUCACAUAUCUUGAAAGCUGCAGUAGAGAACAACUCCCAGGUGACAUUCAUUACCUUAAAGUGCUAGACUUUGACAGAGAUCUUCUGCUCUAGAAGUUGUCCUGAAAUUUCCAAAAACAAGGAGAUUUGAGAGCUGGAGAGGGUAACACAGGGAGAACUACAGUGACUGAUGUAGAGCUGAUUCUGGGCGGUGUAAUCGGACUGCAAUCUGCAUAAACAACUCUCAGAGGAACAUCUGCCAUGCCUUUGGGUAGCUGGACAGUACUGGACCCAUCACAAUUUCAAUACUGGGAAGAGAAAAGCCAGUCCUCUGGGGAAAGAUGAAGCACUGGACCUACAAACUAACUACUUUCAACCCCUGGAUGAAUCUAGGAGCAGAUUAGUCCCGAUAUCAAGGCAAUGUCAAGAGUGAAGGGGAGGAUCAAGAUUUUUUUUGAGUGAUUGUUUCCUGGAAGGAGAAAAAAAAAUAACAAGAAAAUGACCAUGGAAAGUAACAACAACUGAAAACGGAUAAAAUGAAGAUGUGUGAAAGAGCACAAGAGUGCAAAACCAAAAGUAUACAAGGAGUGUUUAUGCAGUAACCACUUUAGAAUGCCUUUCCUCAUGUUUGAAGACUUCUAAACUAGGGCAAGGACAGAUCCCAGCAACUACUGGAAGCAUAAUAAAGGAGAAGAAUGAGGCAUUUUCUUCUCUCAUAUACAGAUUAUAUGUAAUUAGGAUGCUAAGGAUAAUUUUGUAACAUAAAAACGGAGAUGCUAAGGAGAAUGGUUUCACCCUAGUUUAUAGAAGGAGGGUAUACUAUGGUCUAUCAAAGACUGAAAAUUGUCCUCUGCUAAUAAAGUCUCAAAUCAGGGCAAUUGGAUUUCUUUCUUUUUUUUUUUUUAUUAUACUUUAAGUUUUAGGGUACAUGUGCACAAUGUGAAGGUUUGUUACAUAUGUAUACAUGUUCCAUGUUGGUGUGCUGCACCCAUUAACUCAUCAUUUACAUUAGGUAUAUCUCCUAAUGCUAUCCCUCCCCACUCUCCCAGCCCCACAACAGGUCCUGGUGUGUGAUGUUCUCCUUCCUGUGUCCAUGUGUUCAAUUCCCACCUAUGAGUUGAGUUAGAGUUACUAGUCUCAAAUAAAUGCUUGGUAAUGCCAUACAAUCUAAACAUGUUGUCACUGUCAACUCACUAUCUCAUAUUCUGCAAUGAUACCCUUCUAUAUUCUGAAAUUCCUUCCCCAUUCUCAGCAGAUAGCCUCAGAUCAUAUAUCAUACACACAAUUGAACAUAUCACAUAGAAAUUUCAUCAGCUCACUGCCUCCAAUCCAAUGAACCUAACAUCUACUAACAUCAACACCAUCCAGGAAACCAUGACCUCACCAGAUGAACUAAAUAAGGCACCAGGGAAAAAUACCAGUGAAACAGAGACAUGUGACCUUUCAGACAGAUAAUUCAAAAUAGCUGUGUUGAGGAAACUCAAAUUCAAGAUGAUACAGAGAAGGAAUUCAGAAUUAGAUAAAUUUAACAAAGAGAUUGAAAUAAUUAAGAAUCAAGCAGAAAUUCUGGAGCUGAAAAACGCAACUGGCGUAUUGAGAAAUGCACCAGAGUCUCUUAAUAGCAGAACUGAUCAAGCAGAAGAAUGAAUUAGUGAUGUUGAAGACAGACUAUUGGAAAUGCACAGUCAGAAGAGAAAAAAGAAAAAACAAUGAAGCACGCCUACAGGAUCUAAAAAAUAGCCCCCAAAGGGCAAAUCUAAGAGUUACUGGCCUUAAAGAGGGGGGGCUCAACACCCAAGUACAAAAAGGUUAGAGAACACCAAGUAGAUUUAAUCUAAAGAAGACUACCUUGAAUCGUUUAACAAUUAAACUCCCAAAGGUCAAGGAUAAAGAAAGGAUACUAAAAGAACCAAGAGAAAAGAAACAAGUAACAUACACUAGAGCUCCAGUACACCUGGUAGCAGACUUUUCAGUGGAAACCUUACACACCAGGAGAGUGACAUGGCAUAUUUAAAGUGCUAAAGGGUGGAAAAAAAGCCUUUUACCCUGGA